AAAACCAAUGCCCUCUGGGCUCCCUGGUGAUUCAUGAUAACUGCUCGAAUCGCAUGGCCUUGCGCCGGCGAUGGUUCAUUCAAAUUUCUUCCCUAUCAACUUUCGAUGUUUGGGUAGUGGCCAAACAUGGUUGCAACGGGUAACGGAGGGUUAGGGCUCGACCCCGGAGAAGGAGCCUGAGAAACGGCUACUACAUCCAAGGAAGGCAGCAGGCGCGCAAAUUACCCAAUCCCGACACGGGGAGGUAGUGACAAUAAAUACUGAUACAGGGCUCUUUUGGGUCUUGUAAUUGGAAUGAGUACAAUUUAAAUCCCUUAACGAGGAACAAUUGGAGGGCAAGUCUGGUGCCAGCAGCCGCGGUAAUUCCAGCUCCAAUAGCGUAUAUUAAAGUUGUUGUGGUUAAAAAGCUCGUAGUUGAACCUUGGGCCUGGCUGGCCGGUCCGCCUCACCGCGUGCACUGGUCCGGCCGGGCCUUUCCCUCUGUGGAACCCCAUGCCCUUCACUGGGCGUGGCGGGGAAACAGGACCUUUACUUUGAAAAAAUUAGAGUGCUCCAGGCAGGCCUAUGCUCGAAUACAUUAGCAUGGAAUAAUGAAAUAGGACGUGCGGUUCUAUUUUGUUGGUUUCUAGGACCGCCGUAAUGAUUAAUAGGGACAGUCGGGGGCAUCAGUAUUCAAUUGUCAGAGGUGAAAUUCUUGGAUUUAUUGAAGACUAACUACUGCGAAAGCAUUUGCCAAGGAUGUUUUCAUUAAUCAGGAACGAAAGU
rnacentral:rRNA from 3 species